CGAAGUAUAUUGUGUUAGUAUGGACACGACCACAUGUGAUUAGUCAGUAGACCUAAAAUCUAAACCCGAGCUUCCUCAGCUAGAGAUCGAUUCCGCCUCCAAGGCUCCAAGCCACCAACUCUUUGUCUCUCUCGGUCUCUCCCAGAAAAUCAGAAAUCGAUUCAGACCCAUUCAGCCCUCAGCUUCUUCAGCCCUCAGACCCAUUCAGCCCUCAGCCCUCAGCCCUCGGUCUCUCCCAGAAUUCGCACUUCAUAGUCAGUUCCUCACAAUCGAUCUCCCAGAAAUCGGUCUUCAAGAAGACUCUUCCUCACUUACGGCCUCUCAGCUUGCUCCUAGCCUUGACGAUCUUCUCCUUACUGCUCGCUAGCUCCUCUUCGCUUCAGGACCCCUAGAUCGCCAACGCCGAGCGCAGAUUGAAGGAUCUUUGAGCUCUUCGAGGAAAAGUAGAAAGGGUGAGGCUAGCAAAUUGAAGUCCAGCAAAGGUGCAGAAAGGAGUCCUGAUCAACAUCUCCAUUCACUCAAGGCUGGGGCUUGCUUGAG